GGAGGUGAUUGUGCCCCCCUACUCGGGUCUUGUGAGGCCCCAUCUGGAGUACUGUGUCCAGGCCUGGGGCCCUCAAUACAGGAAGGACGUGAAGCUCUUGGAGUAUGUCCAGAGGAGGGCCACAGAGAUGAUCAGAGGGCUGGAGCCCCUCUCCUGUGAGGAAAGGUUGAGGGAACUGGGCUUGUUUAGCUUGGAGAAGAGAAGACUCCGGGGAGUCCUCACUGUGGCCUUCCUGUACUGGAAGAGAGCAUAUUAACAGGAAGGGGAACGGCUGUUUAUGAGGGUGAAUAGUGAUAGGACAAGGGGGAAUGGUUUUAAACUGGGACAGGGAGAUUUAGGUUAGAUAUUAGGGGGAAGUUUUUCACACAGAGGGUGGUGACACACUGGAACAGGUCGCCCAAGGAGGUUGUGGAUGCCCCGUCCCUGGAGGCGUUCAAGGCCAGGCUGGAUGUGGCUCUGGGCAGCCUGGUCUAGUGGUUGGCGACCCUGCACAUAGCAGGGGGGUUGAAACUAGAUGAUCAUUGUGUUCCUUUUUAACCUAGGCCAUUCUAUGUUUAUAUAAUUCUAUGAAAAAUGGAGUCUUAUUCAGAAAUUAACAUAAAUUUAUAAAUUUAAAGCUCAUAGUUGAAAAAUAGUGUUGUAAACAUCACUUACUAUCAUUCCUCAGAACAAACAUUCUAGAUUA
rnacentral:lncRNA from 1 species